GAGUAUAAUUCAAUGGUAGAAUGUGAGCUUCCCAAGCUUAAUAUGCGGGUUCGAUUCCCGUUACUC
rnacentral:tRNA from 1 species